rnacentral:lncRNA from 1 species
UUUUUUAGUCCGUUUUUUUUUUUUGUCCGUAGCUUUGCUGUAGGAAACCUUAUAUGCGUGUAAACCCUUAUACGCGUCUUCUGCCUCUAUCCUCACCUGUUAGAGAACCAAAAAAAAAAAACGCCAUCUCGUGACUCUCCCGUGACGCCUUCUGCAUUUUUCCGACGCCGGUGCUCCAUCCCGUCGCUUCUCGUCGACGCUGCUGCCGGAGCGCCAUCGCCAUCUCAUCUCCUCGGUGCUCCUUCCUUUCCCGUCGAUUUCUUCUUCGUUGCUCGACGUUCCUGCCUUCUCUCGACGUUCCUUCCUUCUCCGACGUCCGUUCCUUCUCCACAAGGCGAUUCCUCCGUCGGUCGAUUGUCUCCGGGAGCACACUUCCUCCGACAUUCUUCUCUUUGGUCGAUUUCUUCUCCAAAAAGGUGAAACCCUAGAUUUAUUUUGUUAUCUAUCUCAUGUAUUUUUUUUUUCUGAAAUGGUAAGUUUCAGGUUUGUAUACUGAAUUUCAUCUAUGACAACAAAAUUGAGGUGAAUAUUGCUCAACUAUCUCUAUUAUCAAAUUUUAAUGUAAUUGGAGCUUUAGAAUGUUAUGGGUACCAGCAUGUUGUUUAGGUUCUUCAAGUCUUUAAACUUCAAGGCUUUUCGGGGACAAUGUGUCUGUAAGAAAAAAGCUUGAAGGGUUUGCCAGCGUAAGUUUAUUGCUCUCACAAAUUUUCUUAUUUUCAGAAUAAUGCAGUGCACACCAUGUGUUUGAUAAAAGUUCCCCUAUGUAAACUAUCUGUUUGGAAAGAGAGAUUCUACUCUAAACUCUAGUUAUUAUGUCAAAUGUUGUAAAAACAAGUCAUUUUGGCCGUGUCAUGGAUUUGAACCUUUUUUCUUAUUAAUGAUGGAAAUUAGAGCAUUCACUAUUCAUAUCAUGGAUUUUACAGGUUUUUUUGGAUAUUGGCAAACGAAAUAUGUGUGAGGAUAGCAAAGUUAAAACCAAGAUUCUGUUUUUUGGGCUUCUCUUUGCUGCUUCAAAUAACUACACCAAAGAAUACUUGUAGAACUAUCCAUCUAUCCAGGUAUUCUAAUUGAUGAACUAAUGUAAAUGGUAAACAAGACUUCAAAACUGAUUAGUUUAAUGAACCUUUGUAUCUUUCAUUUGAUAGGUUAAUGAUCGUCUAUUUGAUAGUGUACCUAACCUUAUUGGCAAUUUGUAUUUACAAUUUGUAAUGUGGUUUUUAAUGUAAUGUUUUUGGUUAGUAAAAUGUAUUUUUAGUUUAAAAUUAUGUUUUUUAGUUUCAAAUUAUGGUUUUUUAAUGAGUCGGUUAUUGUAGUGAUUCAACAACAUGAUUAUUAGAAGGAAAGGUGUUUUAAUUUUUGAGCUAGUUAAAUGCAAGAUAUACAUGCUUAUUAUAACAUCCUACUUUCAUUUUGUCUUACUUAUAGCGUUGUACUUUCAAAAAUGUUCCUAAUUAUGGCAUAAUAAACAAAUACUUGAAAGUACAUUGCUAUGUUUGUAUUUUUUUGUGAUCAUUGAUUAUGGUGUUUUAAACAGGAACAAUUGACGGCAUUUGAUUCAAAACUCAAAUUGAAGAACACGGGUCGGCCUUUAUUGACUCGACUUAACUCACCCGGUAAAUUGCCGAGUAAUCCACCAAAUAAUUCUUAGUUUUAUGUUUGUAAACACUUAGUUAAACAUUUGUGGUUGACACUUUUAAUGUGUAUUAUUAGAUGCAUUUAAUGUAGUAUUAGACAAUGUUAGUAAUAUGUAUUUGUAUUUGAUAUUUUUUUAGUUUUAUUAGUUUUAUUGUAAUGUUAUUUGUUUUGUGGUUGAAUUUCAAUAUUAUUAUAAGUUUAAUGUAAUGUUUUUUUUAAUAUUUUGGACAGAAAAAAAUGGAUUUUUUAUAAUUUUUUGCUGUUUUUUUUUUAAAAUAAAAAGUAAUUACCUACGGAAAAUCUGUAGGUAAUGUGAGCCGUAGGAAAUCCGUAGGUGGUAAAGUCAAUGUUAGUCAAAGUGGGCUCCGUCA